UACGGGGGGAGCAAGCGUUGUUCGGAUUUACUGGGCGUAAAGGGCGCGUAGGCGGCCAGUGCAAGUCAGUUGUGAAAUCUCCGAGCUUAACUCGGAAAGGUCAACUGAUACUGCUCGGCUAGAGUGCGGAAGGGGCAACUGGAAUUCUUGGUGUAGCGGUGAAAUGCGUAGAUAUCAAGAGGAACACCUGCGGCGAAGGCGGGUUGCUGGGCCGACACUGACGCUGAUGCGCGAAAGCCAGGGGAGCGAACGGG
rnacentral:rRNA from 1 species